rnacentral:rRNA from 1 species
AUGCGUAGGGUACAAACAUUAUCCGGAUUUACUGGGCGUAAAGAGAUGCGUAGGCGUCCCUGCAAGUCUUAUGUCAAAGCCCGUGGCUCAACCUCGGAAAGGCAUCGGAUACUACAGGGAUUGAAGUGGAGAGGGGUGAACGGAAUUCUCGGUGGAGUGGUAAAAUACGUUGAUAUCGAGAGGAACACCAGAGGCGAAGGCGGUUCACUGGCUCCAAUUUGACGCUGAGGCUCGAAAGCGUGGGUAGCAAAACGGAUUAGAUACCCGUGUAGUCCACGCCGUAAACGAUGGAUGCUAGCCGUUUGGUGCGACGUUAUAUUCCCUUAGGGGAAUUUAAUGAAGCAUUGAGUGGCGCAGCUAACGCGUUAAGCAUCCCGCCUGGGUAGUACGGCCGCAAGGCUAAAACUCAAAUGAAUUGGCGGGGUCCCGCACAAGCGGAGGAGCGCGUGGUUUAAUUCGAUGGUAAUCGUAGAACCUUACCAGGGUUUGACAUGUCGAUCGUAGUCUUUCGAAAGAUAGACGUCAGUCCGGCUGGAUCGAACACAGGUACUGCAUGGCCGUCGUCAGCUCGUGUCGUGAGAUGUAGGGUUAAGUCCCGAAACGAGCGCAACCCCUAUCCCGUGUUAUAAGUGUCUCGGGAGACUGCAGCGGUAAAACGUUGAGGAAGGUGGGGAUGACGUCUGGUCCGCAUGGUCCUUAUAUCCUGGGCGACACACGCGCUACAAUGGCCGGUACAACAGGCAGCCAAGCCGUAAGGCGGAGCUAAUCCUCUAAAACUGGUCUCAGUCCGGAUUGAAGUCUGCAACUCGACUUCAUGAAGUUGGAUUCGCUAGUAAUCGCAGAUCAGCCAUGCUGCGGUGAAUACGUUCUCGGGACUUGCACACACCGCCCGUCAAGUUAUGGAAGCAGGUAAUACCUGAAGGUGUUUGGUACUUGUACUGAACGACGAGGGUAAUGCUUGUGACUGGAACU